UUUCUGCUAUCCUGGCCGAGGUGCUCGUCUUUUAAUGUUAGCCACUCAUGCUUUGUCUAAAGCUGUCUCUCUCACCACUCUGGGCAGACGCCCGCAUAGUGCAGGCUUUCAGCCGCUGGUCCGACGCAGUGCAUCUUGCAUUCGGCUCAUUCCUCGCUUUGUCAUCUGGCUCAGUGUACUGUUUCUGUUCUGUUAACUCUGUUUCGUUCUUCUCGUUCCUCGCCCAAGAGGUAUACAGCACGCUCGUUCAGAAUCGGCGUGGCCACCACGGCCGCUAAGCGGGGUCUGUCCCCUACUGCGAUCAAGGCGCUGGGCCGUUGGUCGUCUGGCGCAUACGCUUCCUGCAUUUGCCUCACUCCUCAUCACGUCUUUGAAGCAUGCUAUAUCUGGUCUGUAACUUUAUGUUUUCUAUUCUCAUUUCUGGUGACGGUGGUAUUUUGCUGCACCGGCGGCAUUCACUCCAUCUCUUGGGGGGCUAUCGCUCCGGUCACCCGGUCAUGUCUGUAUUCUAUCCUUCUCUCAUCUAUCAGAUCGAUUUUAUAGUGGUCCGUAAGCCUGUUAUCUCUAUAUUUUGUAACAUUGAACCAGUCUAGUUACCAUGGUUGUUUAUCUAUGAUGUCAACUAUCAUACCACAUAUUAUAGCCUACAUUCAUUCAUCCAUCCAUUCAUUUACUCAUUCAUCACCAUGUUCUACUCUCUCUCCUAGGUCACGAUUCCGGCUCUCUACCUACUGUCAUAAUCUAAGUUUUCAGCGCUCUCCUGACCAAGGUGCAUCUAUCAAUCAAAUCAUAACGCUCUGCUGUGUCUCUGCUCUCAGCGCAUCCGCGCCAUGUCUUCUCGCAUAGCCUAAGAUGGUGUCUCCUUGUAAGCGGUAGUUAAGCCGAUUUUGAAGCCACCACCACCCCUCCGUCCACCGUCACCAGAGGUUCCCGUCUGUUAGGGGGCAGGCUACGCCCGCCUCCAUCUCCGCUGGAGGAUAUGCUGUCCUAUCCCGGAGUUCAACGCGAAGACGGGAACCUUCGCCAAACUGAUUCAUGCAUUUUAUCAAGUGUUAUUGUUCGCCAAACUUUUAUGCAUUCCUGUAUCAUGUCUAAUGUUCAA